AGCACACAGAUGGUAGCACAUGCACACUGGAGCACUUGCGUGCAUGUGCACACGCACACAUGUACGCACACACACACAGCCAGCUGCUGCGAGGAGGAGGCUGGGUUCCAGUCCUAGGGCACAAACUCCCAGGGCCAAGAGAAUUCUGCUUUGGGUGUGUGGAGGAGGCACAGCUGGGGCUGGAAACUCUAGAGUGGGAGGAAGGGAGGGAGAGAGGGAGGGAGGCUGGGGAGCCACAUCCUUGAUCUCUGGUCUGUUUCAGCAGUUCCGGACUUGGUGCUCUGGGUCUCUGUGUGACUCUGGGUCUCUCUAAUGUCUGAAUCUUGGAUCUCUGUUUCUCUCUUCUGGGUUUUGGGCUCUGAGGCUGAUCACAUGACUCUGGGUCACCACCUCUGCAGCCUGCUUGGCUCUCUGCGUCCUCUUCCAAGUCUCUCUGUCUCUGCCUCUAUGUCUGCCUCUGUCUCCGUGUCCUUCCUUGUCCUUGCCAGGUGGGAGGAGGGGGUCCAGUGCUCAGGGAGCAGGUGUCGGCUCACUCAGGCAGCAGGGAGUGAAGUUGAGGAGGGCAUAGAGCCAGGAGCUCCUGGACACAGCCACACUCCAGGACACAAACUCAGGGUGCUUACAGGAACACACGACAACAUACAUGGAGAAGUAGGUUCUGGAGGACAUAUACACAGGUACACAAUUCAACACACAGCUGCGCCCCACCACACACAAGGAUGCCAAACACCGAGGGUCACGUGCAAAGAAAUCACACGUACACAAUGACAAAUACUCAUCUAGGCACACCCGGAUAUACAGUCACAGGCAUAUGGCAUUCUUCCACAGGAAAACCCAGGGCCAUGGGCAUACACACAGACACACACACACACACACACACACACACACCUUAAGGAACAUACAGGCACACAGGCACAAAGAGGGCAGACACAACCACACGCUGAAACACAGAUACACAAAGGCACAGGCACACAGUUACGCUGGGGCAGUCACACUCAGAGCCACAACAGGAGUAAGAAGGCAAAUGAGCACAGACAGGCAAAUACCCUCAAGGACAACCAGACACAGGCACAACAGGCGCGCUGAGGGACACACCCAGGCACAAGCAGAUCAUCCUCAGGCAGCUCUGGACACUACAGAUACAGACACACACACAGCCCAGCAUGUGGCAGCUCCCGGGAGGUUCUGGAGGGCUUCCUGACAGAGGUUCUGCUGCCCCAGAGGGUAUUGGUGCCCUUGUGAUAAACAGACGGACUAACAAGCAGACAGACACAUCACUUGGGACAAAAAAACCAAAGCAAAAGCCAGAGGUCAUUAUUGUAUCCUGAAGAACUAGGAGGGAGAAACAGCUCAGUGGGUCACGGGAAGGCUAGGAUAGGAUGGACUGGCCCCUGGGCCAGCGCGCACAGCAGACAUACUAGGCAGAGCGGCAGCCCUGGGUUCCAGUUCUGACUCUGCUGUGUUACCCUGGAGCAGUUGCUGCCCCUCUCUGGGUCACUCUUCUGCUUCUAACAAAGAGAGAGCUGCAGUUGGUGAUUUCUGAGGCAACCAAAAUUCUCAGAGACUCUGCAGCAGUUGUAUAAUAUAACAGGGAGGGGGCCCGGGAGCCUUGGGAGUCUGAUUAGAGUAAUAAGAGGCCCCUCCUCAGGGGCUGCCCCAGCCCUGCAGCCUCCUCCCGCUUCUAGGCUGGACUCUCCCCUGGGUUGAAGCACCUGAAGCCAACAGCACCCCCUGCCCCCUGGUACCUAUAAACACAUGUGCUCCUCUAAGCCUGAGCCAUGUGUUUCGCCCUCUCUGGACCUUAGGCUUUCCAGGCUUGUGU
ensembl:lncRNA